UGCAUGCUGCGAUUCCGUAAUAAAUCUGCGAACAGCUCCGUAUAUCUGUUGUCACCAGUAAAGCCCCUUUGCGCCCUGUCCUGCGCGGAUAGAGGCGGUAAUUCUGCUUGUAAUACGUGUGAAACCGUCGAGGGACGCGCGCCCGCUACGCUCCGCGUGCGGCGCCGUACCUAGACCGGCUGGCAUCCCGGGGCACCAAUCGCGUCGCUAGACGUCGGGAGGAGGCCGCGGGAUAGCGCCAAAGAAUGCCUUCGCGGCACUCUUAGGCUUUGGGCUUCAGACCUAUCAACUGGGAGGCUGGGUAAGGUCCAGUCUCGGUGAUAACGGGUACAGAGGAUCAGGGUUCGGUCCUGGAGAGGUAGCCUGAGAGAUAGCUACUACUUCUAAGGAAGGCAGCAGGCGCGCAACGUUCCCAAUGGUUUGCCACCCAGUGGCCGAGGACGUUAAGGGACAUAACAAUGCCCGGCCCGCAAAGGGCGGGGUAAUUGUAAUGGGGACGUUUUAAAACCCCUACCGAGUAACAAUUAGAG
rnacentral:rRNA from 1 species